AAGUCGUAACAAGGUUUCCGUAGGUGAACCUGCGGAAGGAUCAGUCAAGAUUGCGCGCAAGCGCUUAUCUCCAACACCUGUGCACCGUGGUCUUCGGACCUACAAACAAGUAGUCAUGAACGUGAAAUCAUAACAAUAAAACUUUCAACAACGGAUCUCUUGGCUCUC
rnacentral:misc_RNA from 1 species